rnacentral:lncRNA from 1 species
CCCGAGCGCUCUCGCCAAGGCCAGCCCCUCAGUCGUGCGCUUACCCAGCCCGGGCGAGGCUCGCGCUGUGGCCAGGGCGGCGCCGUCCGGGGUGCGGCUGAGGCUGUAGCUGCUGUAGCCGCGGUGCAGCGCGAACUUGCAGACGUUGCGGCCACGCGCCGUGCAGUUGAAGAGAUAGCAACCCAGCACGGCGGCCGGGGGCGAGGGCCGCCGGGGGAGCUCCACCACGGCCACGGAGCAGCGCGGCUCGGAGCAACAGGCCGCCACGCAUUGCCGCCGGCCCCGCACGGCCGCCGGCGCCAGCAGGAAGCUGGCACCCGCCGCCAGGGAGUCCUUGGUGCGGAUGAUGGCGUCCGGCAUGGCGCUGUAGCCGCCGCCGCCCGGACCCGGGCAGUCCUCUUGCGGGCCGCCGCCCGAGCGCAGCUCCAGCUCCAGCUCCUCCUGCGGCCGCUCCUGCUGCAGCUGCCGGCGGAACUCCUCCAGCAGCUGCUCCACGCCCGACAGCUGCGCGUGCAGUUCGGACAGCGGCGCCGCGGGCGGCAAGGCCGCGCGGCCGCUCGGCAGCCACAGGCAGAGCAGCAGCAGCCCGCGCAGCGCCCCGUGACGCGGCGGUCGCCGGCGCCGCGAGCCAGCGCUCUCCCGGGCGGUGGAGGCCAUGGCGGCCGGCAGCCGAGGGCAGCGAACCGAGGCGGGGCCGAGCGCGGGAGGAAGGCGGGGACGCGGGCGCCGGCGACCGCGGGCCCUGUGCCCCUCCUGCGCGGCCGCGGCUGACUCUAGGCCCCGGCCUCACAGCGCGACACCCCGGGAACCUGGCUGCUUCCCCGAGGCCGCGGGCGCGCGGGCGCCGGCGGGAACCGCAGUAGCGGGAGGCAUAGCCGGCCCAGCUGGGAACCGCUCCUUGCCUUCGCCGGAGGCUGCGCGGCGCUCUGAGCCUCUCAGCCCCGGCCCGCGGCGCUCUGGGUGGCGGCGAGUCGGCUGCGGUGCUGAUCAGCACCAGGUGUGGGAACAGUGGCCG